ACAAUUAUCGUUCUUAGGUGUGGCAGUGCAGGAAAGGAAAACACAAGGUCAAGAAGCAUCACUCUCAUUUCUGACAGUGCAUGACUUGACGCGGGUGCACAGGACACCAGGUGAAAAAUAUUAAACAUUCAGAGCAAUACUAUCUGCUUACUUCAUAAUUUAGCUGAUAAAAAUGUUUUUCUUUGAGAUGGAACCUGCCCAAUUAGCUCUCCUUCUUCUCCUGAAUAUCCACUUUCAGCAUCCUGCAAAACCAGAGGAGCUCCCGCAAGACGAGACGAUGCGUGAAGACCCAGAAAGAGCACCCCUGGGUCCUGGUCUUGGUGAUGUGACUCUCUGUAUUACACUAGGCUUGGGACCAUGGGAGCACCCGAACCCGACUAUUCAGAUUACACAGAAGGGAAAAGUCUCACAAACUGAGUCAACUCUGCAGUGGGUGACAUUCCGUAACAUUUCACUCCUUGAAGUUGGACACAAGGUCAAAACAAAAAGAUUUGAGCAAUAUGUCUGCAGACCCACACGCUACUGUGUGCUGGGUUUCUUAGAUGCAUCAGGUGGAUAUGUUUGUAUGUAUUCACUGGCAAAACGUGUCUACACCACAAAGGAUUUCGAGCUUUUAGUGAAUAAGGAUAAUUUUGAGUUACUGGAAUGGACACCGGGUGAGUCUGGGUCUGUUCCCCGUUGCGGUAUUAGGAGCUGUAAGGUUGUGUUUGUGGGGAGAAAUGAAUAUGGCUUGGGAAAUGUGAACACUAAGACAGGGGCUUUCUAUCUGCCCUGGUGGCUAAAUAAAAAAGAGUACUGGUA